UACGUAGGGAGCGAGCGUUGUCCGGAAUUACUGGGUGUAAAGGGAGCGUAGGCGGGACUGCAAGUCAGGUGUGAAACCUAUGGGCUUAACCCAUAGACUGCACUUGAAACUGUGGUUCUUGAGUGAAGCAGAGGCAGGCGGAAUUCCUAGUGUAGCGGUGAAAUGCGUAGAUAUUAGGAGGAACACCAGUGGCGAAGGCGGCCUGCUGGGCUUAAACUGACGCUGAGGCUCGAAAGCGUGAGGAG
rnacentral:rRNA from 1 species